GACGAACGCUGGCGGCGUGCUUAACACAUGCCAGUCGAACGGAAAGGCCCUGCUUUUGUGGGGUACUCGAGUGGCGAACGGGUAAGUAACACGUGAGUACCCUGCCCUUUGCUUUAGGAUAACUUCAGGCAACUUAGGCUAAUACCGGAUAGGAGCUCCUGCAGCAUGGUGGGGGUUGGAAAGUUUCGGCGGUUGGGGCUGGACUCGCGGCUUAUCAGUAUGUUGGUGGGGCAGUGGCUUACGAAGGCUGUGACGGGCAGCCGGACUGAGAGGGUGACCGGCCACAUAGGGACUGAGAUGCGGGCAAGACUGCUUCGGGAGGAAGCAGUGAGGGAUAGUGCACGAUGGGCGGAAGCAUUAUGCAGCAACGCCGCGUUCUGGAUGACGGCCGUCUGGUUGUAAACCGCUUGCGCCUCUGAGGAAGAGUGAGUGACGGUAAUGGGUAAAGAAGCACCGGCUAACUACGUG
rnacentral:rRNA from 1 species